GGGCCUCAGAGCCGUUGGUUGCGUGCGUUUCUAACGACGACCGAACGAAAAGUGUCAUACGAACGGUAAUUAAACGAUUGUUGGUUGGGUUAUACUGGCAGCCAGCCACGCUAUGCGUAGACCUACUAGUCCCCUGGAAUGCCAGAUGGCAGUUCAGUUUAAUUCAAACUGAAGCAUCCAUCAGCACGUCAACGAUUUUUAGGAAGUUUAGGUGAGACUUGAUAUCUUGCAUUUCAUCGCAGAGUAGGUCUGACGUGGGAACGGAAAUAUUUUCACUCCUACUUAGCUACUUAGUCUAAGUUCUCAGCGAAACGCACUCACCGGAAACAAACAUUGACGAUUUUUUUACAAUUUACGUGCUUUUGUAUGCUUCUUUUCCGCAACUCGAACCAAUAACAUCACAACAUGGUGGUUGGCUAUCAUUAUUGGUCUGCACGUUAACAAGUUUAGUACAAAUCAGUCAGUUGAUCGUGCAAGUUAGCAAAGUUGGUUGCUUAUUUCUGCUGCUUACAUUCGCGCGAACUGGAUGUAUGUAAGUAUGAAUUCAUUAACACACCGCAGAGCCAGCAAUCUAUUGACACAGUUAUAAGUAAGCAAGCAACAAAAACAACAGCAACUUCUGCCAGUUUUUCGAAGCUAAACAGUCAGGCAUUCUGUCAGUGAUUUUGGAGUAAAGACAAUCCUAACAAUCGCUAACACACAAGGUCAACGCUUAAGCGAAGGUUUUGCCAGUCAACAAACAAACCGCGUAAACAAAAACAACAAUUUACAUAGUAUACAAGUCUUAAAUUGAAGUGUGGAGCUGUUAGAAUGGGCUCAGUAAAUUGUAAAGACUCAAAACCAACUGUGGAAACGGUUGAGGAAGUAGCUGCUAAGCCGCUAAAUGGUACUUAUCAGUCUACAACCGAAGACGACAUGUCGGAAUACACGAGCGCCGUAGAGGUCUGCAAAGUCGAUGAUCUGCAGGAGAACGAAAUGAAAAAGUUCAACUUCGAUGCAGAGACUGAAGUGUUGGUGAUAAAACAGGACGGUGAGAUAACAGCGAUUGGUAAUAAGUGUACGCAUUAUGGCGCACCAAUGCAUACCGGUGCUUUGGGUCAGGGACGCGUACGUUGCCCUUGGCAUGGCGCCGCUUUCAAUACGCGCACCGGUGAUAUUGAAGACUUUCCGGGCUUGGACGCGUUGCCUUGUUUUAAGGUGUGCGUGGAAAAUGAUGGCAAAGUAAAACUUCGUGCUAAGCGCAGCGAUUUGAAGAAGAACAACCGCCUCAAAAAUAUGGUGAAGCGUGAUAAGUCUAACCAGGAAUGUAUAGUCGUUAUUGGCGGCGGUCCAGCAUCUGCCACGUGCGUGGAGACCUUGCGCCAAGAGGGCUUUAGCGGUCGCAUCGUUAUGUUGUGUCGCGAACCGGUUUUGCCUUAUGAUCGCAUAAAGAUCUCCAAGGCCUUGCAACUCCCCUUGAAUAUGUUGGAAUAUCGAAAUGCAGACUUCUAUGCAGAAUACGGCAUUGAGACGCUACUUGGUGUAGAGGCGACGAAGGUUGAUACUGUCACGAAAACUGUGCAAUGCUCUAAUAACGACAAGAUCAAAUAUGAUCAACUCUUUAUCGCUACCGGUUUGAGUGCCAGAAAACCGCCUGUACCGGGAGUCGAUUUGAAAAACGUCUUCACAUUGCGUGACUAUCAAGACUCAAAGGCAAUAUUGGCAGCAAUAACACCGGAAACAAAUCUGGUUUGCGUGGGUGGAAGCUUUAUUGCAAUGGAAGUGGCUGCAGCGGUGGUUAAUCAAGUAAAAUCGGUCACUGUGAUAUUUACUGGUGAUUAUCCAUUUGCCUUAUUCGGCGAUGCCGUCGGAAAACUUUUCUACGAUCUGUAUCGUGAAAAAGGUAUUAUAAUGAAAAAUCAAAGCAAACUGUCCGAGUUAUACGGUAAUGCCGAAGGUUUUGUCAAUCAAGUUGGAGUAAAGAACGGUGACAAAAUUGAUUGCGAUGUCGUCGUUUUGGGUACUGGUUCGAUUUAUAAUACUGGUUUCUUGGAAAACUCCGGUAUUCACGUAAAUCGCGAUGGUUCCAUUAACACCGAUAUGCAUCUGAUGACAAACGUGAUCGAUGUCUAUGCCGGCGGUGACAUUGCCAAUGCACCAGUUUUAGCGAAUGCAAAUCAACGCGAUAGCGUUAGUCACAUACAAUUGGCACAAUAUCAUGGACGUGUGGCGGCACGCAAUAUGACCGGCACCAUUGAGGAUCUGCGCACAGUGCCAUUCUUCUUUACGAUGCUUUUCGGUCAGGGUAUACGAUAUGCUGGACAUGGUUCAUAUACCGACGUGCUGAUCAAAGGUGAUUUGGAGAACUUCAAGUUCGUUGUUUACUAUCUUGAUAACUAUGACAAUGUGGUGGCAGUUAUGUCAAUUGGUCACGAUCCGGUAGUAGCGCAAUUCGCCGAACUGCUUAGCCAGGGCAAGCGUUUGCAUCGCUCACAUAUCGAUAAUGGUGAGGAUCACUUGAAGUGGACGCAUAAGUUGGAAGAGAAAAAGUCGCGGUAACGCAGUAAAUGUUGAACGUUUUCGGCGUGGGUUUUGUUAGAAACUAAGAAACAUACGGGUAAUAAUACAUAAAAAAAUAAAUAAAUAGAAAUGAAGUUUUACAAAAAAAAAAAUAAAUAAAGAAAAUUAAACAGAUAUUAAUACUCCCAGCUUCAUAUUUAAUACUCAAUAGAUUGGAAAUGAUAAACUUGAAAUAAAUAAUAAUAGUGAAAAUAUCCUUGUAUUUACGUGGAGAUUCCUUAGCUAUGUAAUAUUUUAAGUAAAAGUAUCGAAUUUAGACGAAAUCGAAAAAUCUAUAUAGAAAGAUAUAUGUAUAUUGGUUAAUUUUUUAUUAAUUUGGUUCUCCCUGUAUAGCGUAUCGUUAAUACUUUUGUCCCACAGUAACAUAUCGUUUUUACGAAAAUUAAUUUAAAAAUUAGGGCAGUAAAUACCUACUUCAAAAAACAUAUUAAUUUAAUAUUUAAUAAUAUAAAAUUAAAAUAUUCGUAACAUUAAUACAUUUUUAGUACAACAUCAGGUCUAAAUUUUUCCCACAUAUAAAUCCCGAAACACUGACAACACUUGCUGUCAAAAAUUAUCUAAAUUCACAACUAAACAAACACAACGAAUUUGAAUUUAUUUUUUUGCUGUUGAUCAAACGUUCAAUAUUUUCCUAUUAUCCGCGUACGAUUUUUCUAAUUUUAUCACUAGCAGUUAGUCUAUCAGGAAAGUAGGUAAAUGUGACACUGAGAAAACCUGUCAGCAAAUUGGCACAUCAAGGAACACACUUGUUGGUGCUCUCCGAUUUCGAUGGCUGUUUGGUUGAUAAAGAACAUGGCUUACAGAUAUCUUGCACCUCCUACGGUGGUGCUUGGAAUUAUUAACCAAGAACAGGUCUAAUUUGCGAUCCUGAUGCGAUUGCCUAUAAAAUUUAAUGGCAAGCAAACUUUAUCAUGAUUGUAAGGAGAACGAACUGUCACUGCUGAGUGCUGAAUGUCCAACCAUUGUGCAGUAACUGAUCUAUAACAUCUCGAACCAGAGCCCUGCUAAGUAUAUAAGCCUAGAUAUCGCCGCAAACAGAAUGUAACCUUUACUAUGGACGCUACAUUAGUGGUGGCAGUAUAUCCAACAGCCUGGAGAUUCUCCAAUAGCUCACCACAAAAUAAUGUCUAAGGGUCGCGCUGCUGUGGAUCAGCACCAUCAAGUCCAAAAGAAUUUUACUUAACUAUUUGUAUUUAAUUAUAGAUAAAUAAAAUAUUAUAAACAAUAAUUAAGACUUAGCAAUAAAUGCUCGUAAUCCGUGACAGCGUUUGCAUGUGUAUAAAAAAAAGAAAAAUACAUCGGUAUUUGCAGAAAAAUUACAAAUUUAACUUCUUUGAUUACUUUGAUGAAGAUUAAAAUUUAUGUACUCACCAGUUAAAUAAUAUGUAGUGCUGCUGGCGACAAAACAACUCGUGCUUAUUAACAAUUUCAUUCCACGAACACAUAGUUCAUAUCUCCGCAGUUGCGUCAAUACACUGAAGUCCGAACGAUUCAUAAAUCAACUACUGAAUGUAUGAAGUACACAUGUACUUGCUUAAAAUAUAUGUAUGUAUGUUGUUCCGCUUCCCUGAAAUAAUUUUGUAGACCGCUGCUGCUUGGGUGCUCAAAAAUUCUUGUGCGUUCCGGUUACGUACGCUCGACUGCUGUGGUAGCGUUCGUUGGUAAAAUAUUCUUAUACUUUUCUGGAGUUUUGCAAGCAUAUGUAUUUUAUAUUGUAAGUAAAUUGAAACUAAUAUAAAACACAUUUUGCUUUUACACAUUUGUCAAAACGAAAUAAAAUAGUAAAAAUUUUAUCUCAAAUGAAUAAACACUGCUUUAUCAACUUUCCUUACAGCAAUAAAAUAUCCGGUCGAAUUUCCCUCUGAAAUCUGCACGUAGCUGUCAAUUCUCAACGCUUACUAUCAAAUUUGCAACCCUGUUACCGCCAAUAAUCAGCUGUUUGUAAUUGCAUUUCAAAGUGCAAUCAAUCACAAAAAUAUACGAAGAAGACAAUAUCUCUUAAAAUAAUAAAAAUUUACAAUUUCGAAAUUAUUUAUUGUGCAAUCACAUUUCAAUUUUUCUUUCAUUAGUGCUAAACAGUGCUUUAAUCGCAACCUAGUUAAGUGAUCCUUAAAGAUUUGUCAGUACAGUUUUAUCAGCAAACGUGACCGAGUUAGCAUAUACAUAAAUAUGUGCGUA